CCUCAGCCUCCCAAGUAGCUGGGACUACAGGUGCCCGCCUGGCUAAUGUUUUGUAUUUUUAGUAGAGACGGGGUUUCACAGUGUUAGCCAGGAUGGUCUCAAUCUCCUGACCUCAUGAUCCGCCCUCUUCGGCCUCCCAAAGUGCUGGGAUUACAGGCGUUAGCCACCACGCCCGGCCCAUAUCCAUCCAUUUUUAAACUUAGCAAGAGCUUCCUGGCUUGGAAUGCUGUGCAUAAGGCAAAUACUUCAGGACAAGAAAAAUGGAUGUUCAGAGAGAACAACAAACAUGCCUCAAGAUACACAGCUAGUAUGUGGUAGUGACAAGAAUCUAGCACAAGCAGUCUGAUUUCAGGAUUCUGUAUCCAUCAUUGCACAAUGUAACUUCAACCAUUAUCUCCAAAAAGAAAGAUUUGGGCCAGGACUGGAGACAAGGACCCCUCUUUGGAAUCUGGUCAUGACUCCUGGCUGCUACGGCACAACUACUCCUGAUGCCUAAAUAUGGAAUCAAUGAAGCACCCACUGAACUCAUUUCAGCACUUCAUCUUUUUCCCUCCAGAAUGGCUCCUGUGCUAAUUGCAUCUGCUUCCCUCUUUGCAUCACAAUGGUAGUUUCUAUUUUGGAUUUUUAUCGUCUGUUGCAGCUUUGAGAAAUUCUUAUUCUGGUUCUGAUCCAGCCUUGGCUAUGUUUCAAAGACGCUAAAACCGCUAGUGAAGCUGGCCUCAUUUACCUUCUGGCACAAGUAUGCAUCUUUCCCAGAGUGAAAAACAGACUCCGUACCCACCCCUUAAAAACAAGUAGACAAGAAGGAAAGAGAAGUCUUGCUAGACUAUACCAGGGGUAAAGUUGGCGAGGAAUAAAACAAAUUUUAAAUCAAAUUCCUGUCGGGUGAAAUUAGCUCAAAUGAUGACCUUCAGAUUUUUUUCUAUUUCCAAAAUUAGAAAUUUUGGAAUCUGCUAAUCACUGUUGUUGUUCUGUAGGAACAUUUUAGAGUUUACAAUUAAAACAUGAAUAAUUUUUCUUCCAUAGCACAUGUCAUCAGAGAUUCUCAGUGGCCUCUCCACACUGUGUAAAGAAAAGCACAGCAGACGUACUCAGCCAGCUGCCUCUGAGGUAUCCAGAGAAAGGCCUUCUACUUAAGUACCUGUCCUAAUAAGGGUAUUUUGUAGGACAUAACAAUUUUUUAGAUAUCUCAUUUAAUCUCUAUUAUAACUUUGUAGCACGAUAGUCUCAUUAUUCCCGUUAUGCUGAUAUGUCAAAUCAAGUGUCAAAAAAUCAAAUAAGCAAUGUAGAAUACUUAGAAUAUGGUUAUCAUAAGGACCACAGAGAAAACCAAAGGAGGGAAAAGGGAUCAGAUUUCAGGUGAGCUACAUGUGAACACUCCAACAGCUGUGUAAGACACUUCCUCAUUUCUGAAAGGUCCAGGCCCUAAGGAGAUGCUGAGAAUUGUAUCCCUCUAAUAGAAAGUAAAAUCACCAUGUUCAAGGUAGAAUAAAUGGCAUAGUAGUAAACAUUGCUUAGGUGAAGUCCAAAUCUCUAGACUAGAGUGAAAUAGUAGAUCACACUAGAAAGAAUAGUUUGGUCCAGAUCACAUAUGACCCAAAAAAUUAGGUAGAAGAUUUUAGAUGUGAUUUAAUAAGUAGAAGAGUGUUUUAAAAAUUGAAAUCAUUUUAGGAUAACUCCUUUGGAAUUAUUUUUCAGAAUGACAAGAAGGGGACAAAGACUUCAAGUGGGAAAUUUAGAAGUUUGCAAUGGUUCACCUCUAAGAUAAUAAAGUUUUAAAAAGGGUAGCAUAAUGGAGACAGAGAUCCACCAUGAAGAACAUGUUAAAAGUCCUUUGGCAAUUGGUUAUUUGUGGGUAAACAGCAUGAGGGUGAACACAGAUAAACAAGGGUUUACCUCAAAUAGCUAGAUUUAAGAUGAAACUAAUGAUGUCUAAGCUUCAGGGCUUCUCAUUUGCAUAAAACCCUUCUAAGCCCCUGGCAGGGCUCCUACUGGUAUGAACAAGUGUUUCAAUUCAAACUAUGCAUCCAACAAAGGACUAAUAUCUACAAGGAACUUAAAUCAGCAAGAAAAAAAAUAAUAAUCCCAUUAAAAAGUGGGCUGAGGACAUGAAUGGACAUUUCUCAAAAGAAAAUAUACAAAUGGCCAACAAACAUUUGAAAAAAUGCUCUACGUCACUAAUCAUCAGGGAAAAUGCAAAUGAAAACCACAAUGAAAUACCACCUUACUCCUACAAAAAUGGCCAUAAUUAAAAAGGCAAAAACCAAUAGAUUUUGGUGUGCAUGUGGUGAAAAGGGAACACUUCUACACUGCUGGUGGGAAUGUAAAUUAGUGGAACCGCUAUGGAAAACAGUAUGGAGAUUCCUUAAGGAGCUAAAGUAGAACUACCAUUUGAUCCAGAAAUUUCACUACUGGGUAUCUACCCAAAGGAAAAUAGGUAAUUACAUGAAAAAAAACACAUGCACACACAUGCACAAUUCAAAAUUGCAAAGAUACGGCACCAUCCUAAGUGCCCAUCAACCAACAAAGGGAUAAAAAAAACCAAUGUACACAUAUACAUAUAUACACACCAUGGAAUACUACUCAGCCAUGAAAAUGAAUGAAAUGAUGUCUUUUGAGGCAACUUGGAUGGAACUGGAGGCCGUUAGUCUAAGAGAAGUAACUCAGUAAUAGAUAAAUAAAUAAAUAUAGUAUAUUCUAACUUCUAAGUGAGAACUAAGCUAUGAGGAUGCAAAGGCAUAAGAUGAUAUGAUGGACUUUGGGUACUUGGGGCAGAGGAAGGUUGGGAGAGAGGUAGGGGAUAAAAUACUACAUAUUGGGUACAGUAUAUACUGCUUGGUUGAUGGGUGCACUAAAAUCUCAGACAUCACCACUAAAGAACUUAUCCAUGUAACCAAAAACUAUCCCUACCCCCAAAAACUAUUGAAAUAAAAAUUAAAAAAAGAUUUAACCCCAUCUCCCCAAAAGAACACGUGUUGCAAUUGAAAGGGCAUUUAAUAUUAGUCACUUCGAAAGAAAAUAUGAAAUUCAGUGAAAGAACUUUGACAGAAGUUUUUCAGGUUUGACAAAAAUUUAUAAAACUUUUAUAACAUAUCCAUGAAUUAAGAAGCUGAAAAGACUCUAAUAAGCUAUUAAUAUCAACAACAAACUGCUAUUAAUAAUGCUAGAAAUAAGACUAGGAAAGAUAGAUAGAUAGACAGACAGAUAGAUAGAUAGAUAUUUUAUACAGAGAACACAAUGUAAGAAAAAAUACUAUAGAGCUG
rnacentral:lncRNA from 10 species